AAGGCUGAACCUGAGCAAUGUUACGUAGCCGCCUGACCAAACAUUUCACACUCUGAAUUCUUCCAAGACUCCACAGCAAGUUCUUUCACACCAUUAAUCACAGAGAAGAGCAUCCAAAAGCGUCAGAGGUAAACUGGCAGCAAUUUUGGCAUCCCUUAAUACGCCAGGCUGGGAACUGCACUGCUUCAGCAACAGCUUAGCAAGGGCUUGGUGCCUUCUGGCCAGCCAGCUCGAAGCUGCUCCUCGUUUUGUCAGCUUGUAACGAAGGGCUAACCUGUCUAAGUGGGAUUGUAUUCGGAAAUAAUUGUUCAACAUAUCUCUGUCAAAUUGUGAUUGACUGCUCUUUACCAGCCUGGCUUUUGCAGCCUUUGUUCUCCUGCCCGUGCACCUCUUGACAAAUUUGCUAGCUCUUACCAACAGUGGCUUAAACAGCCUUGCGAUAGGCACCUCGGGAACUUGUACAACCGUAACCACAUUUUCAACCUGCAGGCUUCUCAGCAGACCUGUAAUGUUCAUAGGUUAAAAACAGCUGUGUUAGUACUUACACACAAAAUCUUUGUUUUAAAAAAAAGUCUUUCUGGCCCUUGUCUGAGCAGAAUUGCAGAUGGGAUGUGUAUUAGGAAGCACAGCUCCAGAGGAGCCAACAACCCAACAGCCCAGGAGUGGGUUCGGUUUGGAGUGCUGUACCAUGGCAGCAGUCUGAAAAUUCACUUUUUUGAUGUUUGUCUCAUUUCUUGGGGGUAAGGGCUGACUCUUAGAAGAAAAGGCUGAAUGAAGAAUCAUCUUAUUUUUCCCUGAGCAUUAAUUUUCUGUUAAAUUCUCCUUUUUUUUUUGAUGUAUUGCACAUUUUCCAACCAGAUUAUUUUUGGCCAGUAACAAAAGGUUAAUAAUAGCCAUAAAAAGAAAAUCAAUCUUUGAUUUUUUUUCCACCAAGGUAAUAAAGGAGAAUUUUUAUAAAGGUUCUGGUUUUGCACGUAGGUGUGUUCCCCGAGAAGGCAGACACAUUUUUAUUCUCAACCAUUUAUGAAUUGCAAUAACAUCUCAAGUCUUUGUGAACCAAUGUUUAUUUCUUUUUCAUUUUGACCUUUCCCCUGUGAGAAUUCAUAUCCAGAGAAGGAGCAGAAAGAACUCUGUGAAGAGCAACCUAAAGAAAAAAGGGAGAGGGAAAAACUCUGGCUUCCUAACAGGCCAUAAAUGCUGCGGUGUCUGCUCUUACCCGUUACCAAAAGCUCUGUCAGUUAAUGUCAGGGCUAUAAAGAAGGGUGUAAGGGAAUCUCUGGUGCCUUGAAUCAGUGGCGCAAUUAUUUCAGCCCAACGUGCUCUCAGCAGAGCUUCUCUUCGCAGGCUGCCCCAGCCCGGUGUGCCAACAGCCUCUGCAAUUGCCACCCACUCGAGUUUUUGGGUGCUUUCCCAUCUCAGCACCUAAAUGCAGGCAGUGUAAGAGAGAGAAUAAAUUUCGGGAUUGUGAGGGUGAGAUAGUGAAGGAGAGAGAUCUUACAGACUGAUGUUUAUUUUUUAAAUUACCUGUGUUUUAGCAUGCUUCUAAAAAUCAGUCCAGCAGCCUGACAGAUUUACACCCUUCCAUUACCACCUCAGUACCGCUCAUUCUUGUGGCAUGUUCAAAACAGCUUCAGGUCUUGGAAUCACCACAUGCUGUGCUUCUGGACUGCCACGAUCCUGCACCGUGUUUUUUGGUUUAAAUGGUGGUGAUGCAGUUUCAAAGGGGCGUUUGUGUGAGUGAAUUACCUAAAUCUUUAGAGCCAGAGGCCAUUUCGAAGUGGGUGGUGGUUGGGUGUUUUGGGGCUCUGCUGGAAGUACCCAGCGCUCGGGGAUAGGUCUGAAAACAGCCUCCUGCAAGCUCUGCUUGCUUGAAGUGUGUGCUUUUAGCUGAGCGAUGACGUGGAAGGAAGGGGAGCAUAUCUGUAACCCAGCAGUUACAAAGCAGCUCGGGCAACAUGACUGUAAUAUCAAUUUCUAGCUUUAAAAUAUUUCAAGACAUGAAUAAGUUUUCCUUGCAGAAGGUCAAGCAACAAAGGGAAACCUUUUUCCCCCGUUGAAGCUUCAGUUGUGACAGUUUUUCCUUGCAAUGCGUGCUGUGGAAAAGUGCUCCUGGGGCCGGGUUGGAUGCCUCCAACUCUGGUCUCCUCCUGCUGCUCUGGCACAAAAGCCCCGUGUAAGUGGUCGUCCCGUGCAGGGAGCAUCACAGCUUUCAAGUCUACAAAAUAUGAGUGCUGUUUUAAGAAAGAUGAAGGGCAUCGUGCUCUAAUAAUUGUCCAGUGGGAGGGAAAAUGAUGAAUACUAUCUCAUACCUACAACAUCAAAACAGGAGACUUGCGACUCAUCCUGGUCUUGCUGUGAAGGCACUUUUUUUGCAUUUGUGUGUAAUUUUGUUUUCUGGAAUAAUCCAUGCAUUGACGGUAUGCCUUAGGGUAAGCGUGAGUACCUGUCCUGGAAUGGUUACUCUGCUUACUCUGAGAAAGCUCUUCAACUCGACCUGGCCACGUGGAUGAGUCUUAAACGCUGUUAGCUGCUGGUGGGACCGUGUCACUUGGCGUACAGGGUAAUUAAGGACUACGUCUGAAUCAAUAUUUGGGUUGCUGCUGAGUUAAAAUUGUACCCAAAUAUUUCUGUUUUAUGACUUAAACCACAUCAUCGUGCAGUUCUAUUAAUCAGCUUAUCGAUGUUAUGGAAAUCAUUUGUACAUGUAAAACUGCAGUCUAAUUAUAGUACUUCAGGGUUGAAAAAAGUUAUAACAACAGUUUUUGUUUUAUUUGCUGACCCUUCACGUCCUCAGUACAGGCACAUCACUGUACAGAGACUUCAGAGCUGCUGUCAGUAAGUUUUCCAUGGGUCACCCACAGACCCUCAAGGGUUUGGGGAGGAAACUUGAGAACCAAAGCUGGAAUCUGCCAGGUUAGGAAGUCUGUUGCUGGUAUGUGUGGAUUUUGUUUUACUCGUUCGUGCACACCUGUCAUUUCAGUGAAAGGCAUCGUGUGCCUGUGGCUGCCUGCAGUGAGAGUUGGUUGCUGCUUGGUGCCAAUGCUGAUGUUGCAUCCGCAUCUUGUACUAACUCCCAAGGCAGCACAGCUCUCUGAAGCUUGUUAGCUUGUGAUUUGGAGCUAGCUGGGUUUAAUUUUGCUAUUUUUUCCUCCAAGAGUAGCAAGAGGAGCGUGAUUGCCUCCUUGGCUUGUCUUUUCUCCCAGUCUCCUGCCACAAACAUCUAGCAGACAGCAGCUACCAUCGUCUCCAUUUGCAUGCUAACACCAUGGUGAGUCAGAGAGCUUCUGGAGACCGGGACGUGGGGUGGCUGUCCCCUCGGUCACGUCUUCAUUGGGAAAAAAAAACCUUUUCAAAUGGAGACAAUACAAACAUAAUAAAUGGCAGGGAGGGUUCAUCUCCCUCAUGACUCAAUCCUUCUCAAACAACAUUAUUAUUGACUGGCCUAUUGGUUGCCAAAAAGGAAAAUCAAUUGUACUAGAGGUAGUUGCUGGGCCACAGAUCAUGGGGCUAACCCGGCAGAGACAGGUUGAUUUUUAUCAACUGUGCAAAGACUAAUUUCCACCAUUAGCUAAAAGUGAAGUAGAAAUUAUGGGUAUGUCAAAUAUUGCCAAGAUUGGUGGUCUCUUGGUUUGGUUUUGUUUGUUUAGUUUUCCUGUUUUCCUGCCUGACUCUUGAAAGAUUUUGUGCGCAUAGGGUAAAAACAAGCGAGAAAAAGUCAGACCUCCUUGCCUGCAAGUCACUGCCUGUAUUUUUUAUUUUUCCUUUCAACUACGUUCAUUCUGAUUUCACAGCAAGGAAAUGAAGUGCUUCGGUGUCUGUGUGGGUCUUGUGUUGGAGGCAACAUUUGGAAGUGAAGCCAGUAUCAGCCAGCACACAUCCUCCCUGCCUUCGUGCCUGUGUUUUUCUGUAGGGAGACGUUGAGGAAAUUGGUGUGGGCAUCUUGACGGUUCUUGACGAAGAACCAGAGGUCCCAGGCUGUGCCUGCACAGCUUUCCCCUCCCUGUUGACUAUGUGCCUGUGUCCGUGCAGCCCCCCACCACCUAUCAGAGCAAACACCGCUGUAGGUAAGGUGCCAGCCACCAGAGUACUCUGCUGUUAGGGCCAUUCUCUAAACCUCAUCAGAUUUAAAAAGGAAAAUACCUGAGCCUUGUGCCCUUUUUGUUAAUGGCCCUGGUAUAAAUUUUCCCCUGAAUAUACUAAAAGCUUGGCUCGUAAAGCCAUGAGGACCCUCUCCUGGAUCUGACGAGUGCUGCAGAGGUUUGGCGGCGUUACGCUCGCCGCAAGCAAAUGCCGCUGCAGGUGCUGCUGAAGUGACCAUCGCUGCAGUAGGACGCACGAUGGCAAAUGGAUGAAGAAACUAAACAAAGAUGAAAGGCAAGGCAACGAGUAAUGAGAGCAGAAUUAUUAACCACAGUAGUUUUCUUCCUCCUUUAUAACCCCCCCCCAGUCCCUAUCUCAAUAUUCCUGUAGUCGGCUUUGCCAAGCAGAUCUCAGAAGACUGCAGGCUUACACCCCUUCAGUCCUGACGUUGUUGCCAAUGGGUGUGAAAUCCAUUAGCCAAAAGAAAGGAGAGAUCUGCUUAGUGACAGAGGGUAGCUUUCUACAUUAAAGCAUUGACAUGGUGCCAGUCACACAGUUAUUAGAAGUGGCACCGCUCCAUGUCUCUCCUGUGGGUCUCUCUGUGGAAUGGAGAUUGGCAGCAGGUUGAAUGUUAAAUGGUCACCACUCAGCAGAUGCUGAUUUUACCUACUGGGAGAAAAGUCCCUUUCAGCAGAAGCAUUUGCAAAAUGUUUGCAGCUCUUAAUAUAUGCCGGGGGAUGCGGAGACUCGUCCCUGGUUCGUGCUUCUGAAGACACCUCAGGUCUCAUCAACACGAACUCCAGAUCGUAAGGACACGGAGAUGUUUCCUUCUGCCUGUGCAUGCUGAUUUUUUUUCUUUUUUUUUUUUCGCAUUGUCUCUUCCCAUCUUCCAGCUUGACAUGUACAGCCUUUGUUUCUUCUGCUCCCUGUAGACAUAUGAAUCAUUGCUUCGUUGCUGGUGCAGCAAAGCAGUUGGCACCCUUGCUCCGGCAGCGCGCGUGCAGCACUGCCUGCAAAGCAGCCUCACCAGCCUGCUUCUGUGUGGUUCCAGCAGUGAUUUCAGGAUCCACGCAGUCCUUUCAACCUCUCCGUGCAAAAGCAGCGUUUGAAGAAGUGAAAUCCAGGAGCCUGUCCUGAAAAACUAGCGGCAGUCUGCAUUGUUUUACCCUCAAAGCUGCUUUCAGGGUAAUCAAAAUGCAGGGAUUAAAUCGAGGGCCCAGGGACAGCAGCACAUUUUAGGGAAUUGCUGUGGGAUUGCACCGUUUGUGGGCAUCACCUUGUCCCCAGGGCUCUGCUGUGCAGAGGGAGGCACUCUGCGUGGCCAGUGCUGGUGCAGGAGGAAUGCAGUUUGCCACCAGGCACGGAGUUUUAUCUCGGGCAGGCUCAGGAAGCGUGACCGCGCUCUGCAUCAGGACAGCUUGUGCCUGAUUAGCACAGCUUUGUGCAGUGUGGUGGCUGCAGUCUGCGUGCUCCCAGGAGCCAGGCCAGCAGCAGGUAGCUCUUAGAUGGGUGCAGGUGGCACUCUGUUGCCUGUUAUAUCCUGGUGCAGAGGAGAAACGUGUGUUUUAUUCCUUACUGUCUGUACAUGGCUUUGCAGAUGCAGGAAAUGUCCUUACCUUGAAUUGCCUCCCUGCGAGGACUUGGGAUGGUCCCAAGCCCCAUUGUCCCAGGGUCAUCUUCGAAAUAAGCACCUGCCGUUUCUGAAGUCAUUGUUGGAAAUGCUUUAGCCCCUCAUUAAGGUAUUUGGUGAGCUGCACAAACAGGAUACCAGUGGCAGCCAAGCUGGUUUUGCAGGUGAACACAUCACCACAGGAAUGGUCUGCAGCUUGCUUCAUUUCCUACAUCCCAGGCAUCACUCUCUGUGCCAGGGGAAAAGCCUUUGCCAAGCAGCCAUCUCCUCUGCUCAGGGGAGAUGGUUCCUAGAGAAAACUUGAAGAAGUUUUCCCUGCUUUGGAGGAGCUAAAUCCUGCCACUGGUUUUCUCUGAGGAGUUUUCAAUAUGGGAGAGUCUGGGUUUACUUCCCAAAUGGCAUUUUGUAGUCAGCUGUCGUUGGUUAUCUCUCCCAGUUUGUUUAAAGUAAAAAAAUAAAUAAAUAAAUUCUAGCACAUCACUGGGGCAUGUUGAAUUUUCAGGCUUUGAGGCGAAGAGCUUUUCCUAGUUUUCCUAAUUAAGACUGACUUUAUCCUAACACUUUGGAUGUUGGGACAGUAAUGCUUUGUGCUUUCUUUUUAAAAGAUUUUAAAUAAGAUUUUUACUAAUUUACAGCUGCUGCUUGACUCCAUGGGUCAUAAGUGGCAAACUGGCACUUAAAAUGGCAAAGCUAAUUUAGGUUUCCACCUCUCAACCUCUGUAUCUCAUUUCUGCAUCCAUGAUUAUAGUUGUCAACACAGGACUCUUUCAGUCUCAGUAUCACGUCCCUCACAGCAGGAGGAGUAAAUGCAUAGGGAACAGAACAGGGUAAGCAUAGAGAUAGUUUUAUAUAUUUACCCAAAGCGUGUGGCUUGGAGGCUUCCUAAACCCCUGCUGUUAUCUUUGUGCUCCUAGAUUUUCCUUUGAUAAUUUUCUCUCGUCCCUCUGUGGGUCCCAGCCUUUUAUGCCAGUGGGAGCUCUGUGGUUGAACUCCAGUUGCUUUGCACGUGCCACGGUGAUUUCAUGCGGGAGCCCAUCGUUCUGGUGCAAUGAGGAACAGGAAUUGUUCCCCUGGUUACCUUUUCUGUCCUGCUUUUGGCUUUAUCAGCCUCCUUGAGCCUUCUUGAUCACUUCUUUGUCAGACUGAGAAGUUUAAUUCUAAAUUAAUCUGUUUAAUUGUGCCCUGCUUGGAAGCCGCUCAGUAACUUUGCAUCUCCUUGAAUCAUUUCUAGUUCCUCCAUGGUUUCUUCCAGACAUGCGAGUAGCUCUUCUCCAUGCCCCUGCUCUAAGUGCAAUGUGAAUCUUAAUGAAGCAAUAUAAUGAUGUUUUCUUACUUCCUCUCUUUUUUUUUCUAAUGCCUCCUUUUUGUUUAUUAACUGUUUAUUAAGUGUCCUGUCACUCUGAGAUCUCUUCAUAGCAUUUUACAGUCAGCUUUGCUUAUGCUGCUUUGGAAGAUGUAACAGAGGAUGCUUCACUCUCAGCCUGCUUCCCCUGUUUGCUUCCGUGUUUGCUUUACAACCCAAGCCCUCGCACUGAGCCCUUGGAGUGAUCACCAGCAACUGUGCAAGUUCAUCGCUUAUCCCUAUUCAAUUGUUACCUUUGUAAUCAGUUACCAGUCAGUGCAAGGACCUUCCCUCUUGUUCUCCAGCAGUAGCAUUUAAUAGCCUCUGCGAGGAUGCAUUUGGAAGGCUUUUGGAAAUUCGUGUGGACAGGAACCCCUGGGGUGAGGUGCAGCAGACGGCUCAGCGGUGCUCACCUGCACAGGGAAGCAAAGGCUGGAACCAUUCUCCCUCUGCAUCUCUCCAGGUGGCUGCUUCAUUGCUGGAAAACAGCAAAUCCCACACUGCAGGAACUUUCUGGCUUACCUAACAGACUGGUUGGCUGUCCCAGCUUAAACAUCCCGCGUUUAAAUGAGCCUUCUGUCUCCUGCUACAAGGCUCAGCUUGGCUGAAAUAAAUCAGCCUGUCCUAAGAAGGAUUUCUUACAAAAUGAAGGCCUGAACUUAGAUGAAGGUGGAAGGUGCACUGAGGCUUUCUGCUGUGUUUUCUCAGGUCGGGACCUGGCUUUCUGCAAGCUGUGUUCCAGCCUUUGAAAAAUUGGUAAACUUCCAUCGUCUAAAUCUGUUCCUCCUGUUCCAGCCAAUUAAACAUUAAAAUGAGCAUGACAAAUAAGUGUUCAUUUAUGGGUCAAUAACUCCGUAGUGUGUCUGUGACAUGACUGGCUGAGACAAUCCAUUUCGGUUCCGUCCUGGGCAAGCCGACAUCUUCAAGUCUGUAAUUGCUUUUGUACAGAAGGAGAAGUAAUAAGGAUAAUGUAGCCAUCAGGCCUCAGCUCCCGAGUUCAAAAACUUCCCCUUGCCAAUCACAUUUCUUCGGUAUUCAGCCCAGUUUAGUCUCGUUGCAGAAGCAUUAUUGUGCUGUCAGAAAAUACCCUAAUUGAUAUAUAUGCGUUAUCUCCAGCGUGGGAUGUCACCUCCUUGAAGGCGCUCGGUUUUGUCCACCAGCCAAGUUACCAUCCGUGAGGAGGCCCUAGUGCACGCGCCGUGGCACCAGACAGGGUUGCCUCGUCCCUCUCCUCUCCCCCCACCCAUUAUAUCUAUAUUUUCUCAGCACUAUUAGAUUAUUAAAUGCUUAAUGACUAUUCCAUUCCUGCUAACUCUACUUUUGAUGAGCUGCAGCGAUAAAACUUUGGAACGGCAACGCGUGCGUCUGGUUCCUUUAUAGGAAGGGCACAUUUGGGGAGCUGAAGUAAUGGGGGAUAAAACUCAAUUAAUGAAUAGAAAUAAAAAGAAGUAAAUGAGGUAAUCAAACUCGGAGAAAUUAGUAUUGGCAGGUUCUGAAUGAUGCUUUUGGAUGAACAAUCGUUCAGAAUCCUUCCUUGUAUGCUGCUGCCGUCUCUUUAUUUAUUAUUAAAAUAACAUGAUCCAUGAGGCGCUCGGGGUGACUCCCAGCCUAGCUAAUUCUAAUUAAUCCAGUCAGGGAGAGCAGCAGGGUAAGUGGAGCAGUCUAUCGGAUUGAAAUUCAUAACUUAAUUGAGGUCAAAGUCCCGGGUUGGGAGAACAAAAGUCUUUCGCUGGGACCAGGCAGAUCAAUAGCAAUAAAUAUCUGGCUUGGUUACAAGUAGCUUAUAGUGACGGAUUAUCUGACACUGGGCAGAGGUCUUGGUCUUGUUGAGGGCAAAGUCCUGUGGCAUGCCCAGGGUUGGGUGACUUUCCUCAGUGCUCCCUCCAAAACCCCGAGGAACUCCUACAGGGCUCGUGGGAGCCGCAGAAGAAGGACGCCCGUAACGACGUCCACGUGAGUCGUGCCGAAAUUUGGAUUCGGCUUCUCAAGGUACGGGUGUCUCGGAAGUAGCACAAGGGCACGUGUCACAUUAGUGCUGACGGAGGUUGGAAGAAGUUGCUCAGACUUACAGGAACUUGGAGCUAAAUCACAGCGUGUCCAGAGAAAGGCCUUUAGGAGCGGGGGAGCUGAGCGGUGGAUUGAUGGGCUUUACGCCAAGCCUGUAUUUAUAGCACGUUUACAUUAGAUGAGAGAGGAAAGCUGGAAGAGGGCAGUGUAAAUAACCACUGAGGUAGCUCUGUCGUGGUGGAGAAACCAGCAGAGGCAGGUGUGGGUUCACCUGAUCUUCAGAAACGCAGACACUCUCUGCUCUGACCUCCAAAAUGUUCCCUCUGCAUGGGUUUGUAUCUGGCUGGGACCCCCAGUCCUUAUCCACAGCUCUGCGGUGUGACUUUGAGAGUCACCUGCAGCCCUGGUCCUAGGGAAAGAAGCCAACAGGUCCUACCCUGAGCCCUGAACACCAUACUGUCCACGCAGCCCUGCCUGGUGCUUCUGGAGUACUCAUCAGCAGUAGCAACCUCAGGAGCUUCUCCGAGCUCUUAGCAGGUAGGUGUUUGCCUGGUGCUUGAUAUCGAGAUGCUAUCUUCACCCGGGCCGGUUGUUAUUAAUGCAGUAUUUAUGCAGAUUCAACUGUUCUGCUCGUAUCCUCUGUAGAGGACAAAUCCUGCUGUGGUCAGCAUUUGAUCCGUCUCUGAUGGAUGUUGUUCUGCCAAUGUACUUCAACACCGCUUGGAAGUGAGAUGCAAACCGCAGCUCGGAUGCAGCCAGGGGCUCUUUGACGUUCCCCCUCCUCCCUGUGAGCGCUGCAUCAGCCUAAAGCAUCUCUUAGUGUCCCACUUGCCAAAAACGUUCAAAAGGUCUCUACCCCUCUGCUCUAGGUGAGAUAUCUUGGCUGAUCAGCUUGUAGGCUUACCUUGAUGGUAUUUUGGUGUUCAUAAGUGGUAGGUGCACCCUCACACCUUCCUGAAACUGCCUCCGGAAAACACCUCUUGUUUUCCACUGCAGGACAUUAGCUUCAAAUGCACAAAUGGACAGAGCACAGCGAACAAGGCAGCUGUUCAGUGCGUGUGUAUAACUGCUGUUGAGGUUUCCUCACUGCCUCGUAGCACCUCAGCCUCCUCUCUAGGUCGGUGCUGUCCCUCUCCAAACUGCUGCUGCCCUGGUGAUGCUACCCCGUUCCUUCCCAGCAUAGACCAGGGCAAAACAAAGCUCCUGAGGCUAUUAAAAACUUUAUAAAUGGCAGAAAUCAGUAACAAAACUGCAUUGGCAGCUGUCGUUUUCCCUGUUAUAGUGAAGGGGGAGAUAGUUUGCUGCUUGUCAUCAGCAGUUGUUCAUGUUAUUAAAAAAAAGUAGCGCUGGAUGUCCCAGCCUGCAGCACCCCUGGUGAUUGAGCGAGGAAGUUCCCCUCGUGGUUUAUUAAGAAUUGAGUUCAGGUUUCUAAUUCUCCAGUUUUGCUACAAAAUCCUGCGUGACCUUGAACAAGUCACUUGAUUUCUUUCUGUCUUGGUUUCCCAUUUGGGAAAUGCUGGGGCAAAUAAUUGUUUUUUAUCUCAUGGAUAUAACAAGAUUAUAAAAAUAUGGUAGUUCUAAGACCCUGAGAAAACCGAUCAAAUGAAAUUAAACAGAUCUUGCAGCCCAGACAAAAUGAGAUGAAACAAGCAUGGAACUAUUAGGGAAAGAAAUGUUUCUUUAUCUUCCACAAAUAAAAAUGCAAAGUGAUUAAGUGGGUCUUUUCUAGCUAUUAGCAAUAACAGCUCUAGCCAGCUGACUUUUGCCACCCUUGAAAAUUAAUUUGCGGGGUACAGUCCUGAAUUUAGUGUGCUUACAAUAAAUACCCCUAAAAAUGUUGUCACCUCCUGCAGUGCAGGGUGUAACUGCUGUGAUAGUACUGCAAUUACUUGCCCUGCAAAUAAAAAGUGGCUGCUCUAAAUGAGAUGCUCUAACACGAUGGUUUGCAAAUUUCUUUUAAUUGAUUUUUUUUCCCCUACGAUAUUUCCUUCCUUAGUUAUACAUAUAUUUUUAUAUGUAUUUUAUAUAUAUAAUUAUUUUUAUUUUUAUCCAGGCUGGUUUCAGAGGUCUGAUUCACAGCAUGUAUGCAUCCCAGCCAGCUCCAGGUGAGGGGUGGCAGGGCGAUGGACCAGGUGGCUGGAGGUGGCCUUAUCCCCAGCAGCUUCUCCUCCUGCCAUGCAGCUACACACCAGAGAUCACCGCACGUCCCUGCUGCUGGGAGAGGCUGGGCACGUUCCCGUACGAGCUUGGUGUGUGCAGGAGAUGAUGGAGAGGAGGAAAGCCCCAGCUCUGGAGCCAUUUUCCUUCCCCGGCUCGGUGAACAGAUGAGAAAUGUCACCCUUUCAGCAGGGCCCUCAAAACGAGGUAGUGAUUAAUGAACAAAACGGGAUAGGGUAGGGAAGGAGCUGCGAGUGGCUGACUUUCUGCAGCACGGAGGGAAGAUGAGAAGCGUUUCAGAAAGCACUAGGCUGCAGCGUGCUACGGAAAAAGCCUGUUUUAAUCACAGUCACACCGUGCAAAUGACAUCUGAGUCUGAAGCCAGAUCCGCAGAAGCUGCCCGCUAGCCUUCUCCGCGAUGCCCUAUUCCCGAUGCUAUUGUCAGGGUAUUUCCGAGCGAUGCUCACAGAUUACACGGCAAUUUGGCUUCCGAAGUGGUGUGAAAUUGAGCAUUGCAGUCUAAAUUCCGCUGGUCAAACCCAGAAGAGGUUUGUAAAGUUAUGGCUCAGCAAUUGCAGGUGAUCGAUUUUUCAUAGCUUGAUAACCGAGCGCUCGGGUUUUGUAUGACAGGAGGUGAUCGCGGGCACCCUCACCUCCGGUCCUAAUUGCAAAGUAACGAGGUUAAUGCGGACCGUGAAGGCAGUUUCGAUCUGGAUAUUUCACAGCAGCAGAAAAACUCAGAGCUCUGGUGACUUCUGCUCAUCAAUUUUUCUUCUCGGAUGGAAAAGUGAAGCGUAGAGGUGGUCAGCUUGCAAUCAUCAGCUGGUAGGAAGCAGCUUGCUAAGCCACAGGAGCCCAGCGGCUUGGGAAGAAGUCUCAAACUGAAGAAGAUGCAAACUGGAGUGUACCACGGGAAGCAUUCAUUUUGACCUGUUUUAGAUUAUCUUUUUUUUUUUUCCCCUUUUUGCCAGGUGUUCCUCUUGUGCACGGAUAAAUUACGACACGAAACAGCUCUCUGAAUUUACCUAGGAACAACUACACAGUCAGAAACUCUUAGAUUUUAUUUUGUCAGGCGGAAAAAGGAAAGCACAACUUGAAUCGAAAAGAAAAACUUAUCUUGCUUUUAAAAUAUUUACAAAAAAAGGCAAGUUUUCACUGCUGUGCCCAGUUCCUCUACGUCUGCAUGUGAGCAGGGCACACCGGUAGAGCAGCACAUGGAGAGCGAUGGGCUCGGUGUUGCCCUGAGCUGUUCUAGCUGAUUUUUAUGGCUGAAGCUGGCAUGAAUGCCACUUGAGGCAUCAGGCGAGAAGCAAAGGCUGUCCCUUUCCCCAGAAGCUCUUCUUGGCAUCAGAUGCAGAGCGACAGGUAGUGCAAAUGGAAAGGCUGAGGGAAUGGAAAUAAGGGAGAACAAACCAGAGACCAGCACAGGAAUAGGAAUUGUGGCUCAGCAUUUCCCCAGGCGGUGACACAGAGGGGCACGGCGGAGGUACUCUGCCUCUGGGGAUUUAGAAGAUGGCAAGGGGUCAUUCCCGAGGACUUCUGAUGAAGGACAAACACGUGAAUCCCCUACUGAAAUCAAUGGGGCUUUUAUCUGCGUGCAUCUCGGGGCUGAACGUGUCCCUUUCUGCAACCAGAAAAAAAAAUAAACCUACAAGUGUGGCUUUCUGUCAUGUCCAUUGGGAGAUGAAUUCAGUGACGGGGAAGAAAUGGGAGACUUUUCAUAGAGGGAAAGAGAAAAUUGAUUAAUUUGCAUAGGAAUGUAUCACAGCUGUACCCCAUGCAGGAAACGGUCCCUCUCGGGACAGGGUGGUUUGAAACCAGCCAGCCGGCUGCAGAAUUAAGUCUGAUCUGAGCAGAGAGUGGCACUGAUGGUGGCACCGCGUUCCUGGAGGGACGGUGCCCUGCUGCUGACAGCACCUGGUGCUAUCUCCGGGGUGUCAUCUUCCAUUCACACGCCGGAGUGUGCUGCUUCCAACCUGCGGAUGCCACAGCGAUAUUCCCCAGCUGGGGAAUUGCCAUCUAGAUCUGCCAACUGCAACCUGUUUUAUCUGAUGUAGCCGCUUGUUAGCUCCUACAUCAUCAAAUAGCAUAGAAACAUCCAACUCGGUGCUUCUCAAUCAUUUUAUCCUUGAGACCUUUAUUUUGUAGCUGGUGCUGUGUUUCCAUGAGUUGAUUGUGUUUGUAUCCUGUGAAUCUGGAGCUGUAGCUAGUCAAGGAUGGUCCAGGAGGUGAGCAAGUACCUGUAAGAUAGCCAUGGAUGGUCCAGGAGGUGAGCAGAUACCUGUAAGGUUGUGUCCUGGGUGCCCAGUGUGCUUUUAGCAACACUCUGCCAGCAGAUCAGUGGUUCCUUUAUCGUGGUUGCUUUCAAGGCACUAGGCGAGAACGAUUUCUGCAGCUCUGGAGAAGCAACAAGGUAGAUAAAAAAAAAAAAAAAAAGGAGAAAUUUGCUAUGUUUUGGUCAUGAAACAAAUUUUCUGCAAAAUGGGAGUUCUGGUUAUUGCUGCUGCCCUGGUUAUAGCGCUGGGGAGCAGCAAGGUGCGGCGUUGCCCUCCCUCGUGCACGCCGGUACCUGGGAAAAAGAGAGAGUAAGGCAGUCAUUCUUUAAUCUUGAGCACUGAGGGUUCGUUUUGCUGCAAAAAAAAAAUCCUAAGUGUUUUAGAGCAAGAUUCAAACGGCCUCAAAAAGGCAUCAGUUAAACCUGCCCGCGCUGUGAUCGCCAACGAGCGGAUCUUUCAGCUGGCGGCGCGUUCCCUGGGGGUUCACAUUAUUAAUAUCUGCCUUAUGACAAGGUGCCUGUGCUGAUGCCAGGUUUUUUUCCCAGGCAGCAUGAUUAAUUUUUUUUCCCCUUUCUUAAUAUCUCAGAGCCAGAUGCUUCUCAAUGUCCUCACAGGGGUGUAUUGCUGUUCUUAAGCGCUCCUCCUUCUCCCCCACCCCUUUGCAACUAAUUCAUAUAAUGGCCCCGGAGAUGUGUUUUGUAGAGCCACAAAAAAAAAAGCAAAACUUUGAAAGCAUCCCGAGAUGAUGGACUUGACAUGUGCAAAUCUGUCCUCCUGACGUUCCUGGUGGGUUUGCCGUUUCGGGGCGUGCUUCUUUGCCUAGCACUUUGCAAAUUGUGUACACGCAGAAGUGCUGAAGGCAGAUAUUCUGCUGGGGAGAACGAGCGGCAGCGGGGUGUUGAGCUGGCAUCUUGGAGAGAGCAAAGGAAGGCUUGGCUGAGGAAGAGGAGCACGUGGUAGCUCUAGGAAGCGCCCUGGGUCUUCAAGCAUUGGUUAAUUUAAAGACUUCAAGACUUUGCAGUACUAAAAAAGGUCUUUAUUGUGUAAAAAGAGAAGAAAUUAAUUCUCUGCUGGAAUUCUUGUGCAAAAGUGCAGCUGCACAGGCUUGGGUUUUUCCAGCCUGGACAUCAGAUGUCCUUCCUUAGCCAGCUGUGCAGGAAUGGUUUGUCCAAGAAGCUCCUCCUUCUGCCAUGUCCAUCCAGCAGUUUCCUCCGGGUAAGGGAUUCCCACAACUCCUGCAUUGAUCCUCGCCUGCUUUGAGACAUUCCUGCACUCACCUGGACUUCAGGGAAGGUUUCCUGGGGGAAGCAAUGCCCCAAAUCCCAGAAACAGAAUAGUUAAUGGUGGAUAGGUUAAGAGACAGAUAAAAUUUGCCAGUGCAAGCAGGAGAAUUGAGUCCUUCCUCUCGGUCUCCCUUAGUUUUGGUGCAAGAGGAGGCUGGCAGGAGGGCAGCAGGACAUUGGGAGCACUCCCUCCCGCAGCAGGUCACCUCGCUGUGUGUCUGGCACCGGCAGGCAGAAUGGGAAUUAAGUCAAAAUUAACCUCAGUUGGGAAACCCCCUAGCCCUGCUUUAUUUGGCCAUUUAAUUGAAUUAACGAUGCCGUGUAAGCGUGCUGACCCCCAGAUGUAAAUUGCUCCUCCCUCCCCAUUUCCCUCCUUCAUUCCCUCACGCUAACGGAGCCGGUGGGGAUGUGACUGCAGAGAGAGGGAGAAAAAGAGGGAAAAAGGCUGGAAAUAAAAGGAAAAAAACUCCAGCCUCAUGCAAACCUUCCCCUUCAGUGUCACAGCUGCGCUCACCGUGUUGUGAUCUUUGGUGCCGCUAAGCUGAUUGCGCCCGCUGAGGGGUUCAGCCACCUAAUCCCAUGGUGCUGCAACUGGUUGCUUUCUAUUUAAGCACAAUUUGUAUUUUUUUUCCGGAGAACUAAAAGUCAGUUUGGCUUCAGUGGACUCUCGAAGUGGGUCAGGCUGUUACGGGGACCCACUUUUUGACGUUUGCUCGGUUAAUACAGGAAAAUAGGACGCAUUAGUGGGCUCCGCGUCCUAAUGGAUGCUCUCGGGCUGGGAGAGGUCUGUGCAUGCAUUAGGGCUCACAGCUUCUGGCGUGGUUUGGGAGGGAUGGAUUCAGGAGGGAUGGAUUCGGGAGGGAUGGAUUCGGGAGGUGCUGUGCUGCCACUUGGAUGCCGCAGAAAUUUUGGUUUUGCUUGCAUGGACAAGCCACGCCGGCACCGGCUGUGCGUCUAAAAGGGGCUCUAAUGGGAGAUGCCAAUAGGUUCGAUUGAUUUCAUUAAUUUAAUAGUCAAUUUAAAUCCAGUUCUCAGUUACUUUUCCAAGGAAGGGUUGAUUCCCAUUUGUUAACAACUAUUAAAACAUGUUCAUUUGCAACUAGAUGUAGCCUUCAUGGUAAAUUCAGUUCUCUUGCUAACCAGAUACACAACAUCUGUGCGUGUUUAUUUAAUUUAACUCAGAGCAUUUUAACCUACUUCAUUCACACUCUUAAUUUUUAGGUGCAUGUGAAUUGAAGUUAGAAUUUCAUUGAAAAGCCUUUUCACUUUUCAAAUUCUCCUUAAAAAUAAAUUGAAAUCUCACCAGAAGUAUGGCGAUGGGGCUUGGUUUUGGAAGGGGGAAAAUAAACAGAAUUGUAUUUGUGUUUGUGAAUGGCACAUUUAGGAAAGGAGAUGUUUACUACCAGAAUGUGUCAGAAACCCUUCCUGCCCAAGUUUUGUUAACAAAAUCAAGGAUUUUAGGAGCAAAAUGAAGGAGUGACUGAAGAUUAGCUUAGGUUUCAGUUCGGCUCUUAACCAUUCUUAAGACCUAGUAGGUCCAUUGCCUCCUACUUCAUUUUUAUCCAGAAAUAGUCCAAAGCUGGUCUAAUACCUCAAAAGAGUUGUUACAGGAGUUUAUCGUGUGACUUACCUGGUGAUUUUCUUCAGAUAGCAGGCAUCAGAUGCAUGCUGCUUGAAAACAUACGUUAUUUUUCAUUAACUGCAGUGAUUUUAUGGGAUUGUAUUCUGCUCGAGCCAUCACUUAGGAUAACCUGAUUUCAAAUAUAUUAUUGAAGUAUUUUUAUUUUAGCAGAAAAAAAAUAAUUUUAUGCCUUUCAAGCACUAAACAAUGUUAGUUUUAUUUGGUAGGAGGUUCUAAAAAAAGAUUUUUUUUCAUGAUUCCAAGUACAACUUUUCUUGUACAACUCUAAAGCCCCAUUAAAACUGGUAGAACACAUUAUUUCAAUUCCUUCUCGUCGUUAAGGCUUGUUUAAUUGGACAAAAUCUGUAAAGCUGCUCAAUAAAAGUGGGACAAGACUGAAGAUAACACAGGAGGUGUGCACAAGGAUGCUAACCCACUUGUGGGGGUCUAGCUGGCAGCUGGGACAGUUCCAGUUCACACCUUGUGCUUUUCAGGUUUGGGCUCUUGCUUAUUUUUGUCUCCCCAGAUUACGGAAUGAAGGCAAGGUUCUCACUAAUGGAGGCUUACGCGUGGGCAGAUCUUAUUAGGAGAGGGAAGACCUAGCGUGGAAAAGGACAGCACGUCCUGCUAGUCAGAGCGUGGGGAGCUCAGCAUCCUGAAACUAAUCCUGGCUGUGGGCUGCGCUCCUUGUUUGACCUUGAGUAAAUCAGACAGGCAGGUUUUUUCUUCUGCGUGUGUCUCGGUUUCUGUAACUGUAACAUGGGAGCAUUAUGUGCGUAUAUCCCUGGGUCUUGCCUAGAUUAAUAAAUCAAUAUUUGUAAAGUAA